rnacentral:rRNA from 1 species
UACGUAGGGGGCUAGCGUUAUCCGGAAUUACUGGGCGUAAAGGGUGCGUAGGUGGUUUCUUAAGUCAGAGGUGAAAGGCUACGGCUCAACCGUAGUAAGCCUUUGAAACUGGGAAACUUGAGUGCAGGAGAGGAGAGUGGAAUUCCUAGUGUAGCGGCGAAAUGCGUAGAUAUUAGGAGGAACACCAGUUGCGAAGGCGGCUCUCUGGACUGUAACUGACACUGAGGCACGAAAGCGUGGGGAGCAAACAGGAUUAGAUACCCCCGUAGUCCCUGAG